rnacentral:tRNA from 1 species
ACUAUUUUGGCAGAUAAGUGCAUUAGAUUUAGAAUCUAUUAAUGUGAAUUUUUUAUUUUACAAGUAGUA